UACGUAGGGUGCAAGCGUUAUCCGGAAUCACUGGGCGUAAAGCGUGCGUAGGCGGAAGCUUAAGUGUGAUGUUAAAUCGUGUGGCUCAACCAUAUCGAUGCAUCGCAUACUGGGUUUCUAGAGGACGGCAGAGGCAAGUGGAACUCGUAGUGUAGCAGUGAAAUGCGUAGAUAUUACGAAGAACACCAAUGGCGAAGGCAGCUUGCUGGGCCGCCCCUGACGCUGAGGCACGAAAGCGUGGGGAGCGAACAGG
rnacentral:rRNA from 1 species